AGAAUCAACGCUGGCGGCGUGCCUAACACAUGCAAGUCGAACGAGAAAGUGGAGCAAUCCAUGAGUAAAGUGGCGCACGGGUGAGUAACACGUGACUAACCUACCCUUGAGUGGGGGAUAACCUAGAGAAAUCUGGGCUAAUACCGCAUAAUACCUUCGGGUCAAAGGAGCAAUUCGCUUAAGGAGGGGGUCGCGGCCGAUUAGUUAGUUGGCGGGGUAAUGGCCCACCAAGACUGUGAUCGGUAUCCGGCCUGAGAGGGCGCACGGACACACUGGAACUGAAACACGGUCCAGACUCUUACGGGAGGCAGCAGUGGGGAAUUUGCGCAAUGGGGGAAACCCUGACGCAGCAACGCCGCGUGGAGGAUGAAGCCCCUUGGGGCGUAAACUCCUUUCGAUCGGGAAGAUAAUGACGGUACCGAGAGAAGAAGCCCCGGCUAACUUCGUGCCAGCAGCCGC
rnacentral:rRNA from 1 species